rnacentral:rRNA from 1 species
GUACGACGGAGCACGUGAAAUUCCGUCGGAAUCUGGGAGGACCAUCUCCUAAGGCUAAAUACUCUCUAGUGACCGAUAGUGAACCAGUACCGUGAGGGAAAGGUGAAAAGCACCCCGGAAGGGGAGUGAAAUAGAACCUGAAACCGUGUGCUUACAAGUAGUCAGAGCCCGUUAAUGGGUGAUGGCGUGCCUUUUGUAGAAUGAACCGGCGAGUUACGAUUUGAUGCAAGGUUAAGCAGUAAAUGUGGAGCCGUAGCGAAAGCGAGUCUGAAUAGGGCGUUUAGUAUUUGGUCGUAGACCCGAAACCAGGUGAUCUACCCUUGGUCAGGUUGAAGUUCAGGUAACACUGAAUGGAGGACCGAACCGACUUACGUUGAAAAGUGAGCGGAUGAACUGAGGGUAGCGGAGAAAUUCCAAUCGAACCUGGAGAUAGCUGGUUCUCUCCGAAAUAGCUUUAGGGCUAGCCUCAAGUGAUGAUUAUUGGAGGUAGAGCACUGUUUGGACGAGGGGCCCCUCUCGGGUUACCGAAUUCAGACAAACUCCGAAUGCCAAUUAAUUUAACUUGGGAGUCAGAACAUGGGUGAUAAGGUCCGUGUUCGAAAGGGAAACAGCCCAGACCACCAGCUAAGGUCCCAAAAUAUAUGUUAAGUGGAAAAGGAUGUGGCGUUGCCCAGACAACUAGGAUGUUGGCUUAGAAGCAGCCAUCAUUUAAAGAGUGCGUAAUAGCUCACUAGUCGAGUGACACUGCGCCGAAAAUGUACCGGGGCUAAACAUAUUACCGAAGCUGUGGAUUGUCCUUUGGACAAUGGUAGGAGAGCGUUCUAAGGGCGUUGAAGCAUGAUCGUAAGGACAUGUGGAGCGCUUAGAAGUGAGAAUGCCGGUGUGAGUAGCGAAAGACGGGUGAGAAUCCCGUCCACCGAUUGACUAAGGUUUCCAGAGGAAGGCUCGUCCGCUCUGGGUUAGUCGGGUCCUAAGCUGAGGCCGACAGGCGUAGGCGAUGGAUAACAGGUUGAUAUUCCUGUACCACCUAUAAUCGUUUUAAUCGAUGGGGGGACGCAGUAGGAUAGGCGAAGCGUGCGAUUGGAUUGCACGUCUAAGCAGUAAGGCUGAGUAUUAGGCAAAUCCGGUACUCGUUAAGGCUGA